GCCCCACACCCGGCAGUGCCCAUACUCACCAGCAGGUGGCGGUAUAAGCGGAUCAUCGCAUUGUGUUGUUACUGCGGCGAGCAGAAAAAGAAAGUACGGAUGCCAAUGACAUUGGCAUUAGCCAGAGGAUUUCCUUCCUUGGCGAGCUGCAGAUCUCUCUGCCGCCAUCAGAAUCGGACCUUCUCAACACAACAAUCACUUGUCAGGGUGUUGUACGAUGGACUUUGUCCCAUUUGUGUGACAGAGAUACGGUUCCUCCAGUAUUAUCAGAGAAACAAAGCAGAAAAAGUCACAUUUGUUGACAUCUCACUUCCUGGUUAUGACGGAGGAGAGUUCGCAGGGGUCAGCUACGACACGGCCAUGGAUGAGAUGCACGUGAUUGAUGAAAGGGACCAGGUACACCGUGGGAUCCCAGCGUUCUCAGUCAUGUACGGCGCCGUCGGCCUGGGCUGGUUGGGGCGCUUCAUGAUGUGGGCCCCUUUGAGGCCCUGGAUGGACAAAAGCUACGCCAUCUUUGCCAGGAAUCGCCUGAAGUGGACUGGACGUGGGGAUGAGUGCCGUACCGAAGCUGUGCAAAGAAAACACGUUGAUCGUUUGGAUGGCAGUUCGACUAUUUAUGGGAUGGAUUACAAAACUGCUGGGCAUCUGCCACUAGAUGACAAUGAAGGUUGGAAAACAAGCUGUCGCAAUAAAAUGCUAGCAAAGUGAUGAAAUGUGUUUUUGAAGGAAUGCGUUUUCAAGAAUGACAACAUUUGAAGGCCUGAUGUUGAUUAUACUGUUGCAUUACCUUGGCCAACACAGAAUGGAAUCAACAACGUCAAAUCGCACCUUUGUAUGGUUUGUGCAAUAAAAACGUCAGUAAUGCUGUAACACGAGUGACAUUAUAUUUUCUGUCAUCAUGUGUGACUGUGCUGGGCAGAAGCCAGACCCAGGAGGGAUCAAAGAGGAGGUCCGUCUCCGCUACAACAGUGUUGUUAUCAGCCAGACACCAGUGGCUGAUACAGGUAGUACAAACUAGUACGCACGUGAGUGACUGUACCCAACGCUUACGCAAUAGCUCUGUUGCAUACACGGUAGAGUGGGCCACACCCCUUUCAACUCAUGUGGACAUUCUUGUGUUGAACUGACCUAAGAUCUAUAAAAUAAGAUGCUGGUGAAAGAUAGUUUCUUAGAGACAUUGGAGUAGAAGGGGAUUAAUAGAGGGAAUCAAACAUUGUUG
ensembl:lncRNA